rnacentral:rRNA from 1 species
GACGAACGCUGGCGGCGUGCUUAACACAUGCAAGUCGGACGGAAAGGCCCUGCUUUUGUGGGGUGCUCGAGUGGCGAACGGGUGAGUAACACGUGAGUAACCUGCCCUUGACUUUGGGAUAACUUCAGGAAACUGGGGCUAAUACCGGAUAGGAGCUCCUGCUGCAUGGUGGGGGUUGGAAAGUUUCGGCGGUUGGGGAUGGACUCGCGGCUUAUCAGCUUGUUGGUGGGGUAGUGGCUUACCAAGGCUUUGACGGGUAGCCGGCCUGAGAGGGUGACCGGCCACAUUGGGACUGAGAUACGGCCCAGACUCCUACGGGAGGCAGCGGUGGGGAAUAUUGCACAAUGGGCGGAAGCCUGAUGCAGCAACGCCGCGUGCGGGAUGACGGCCUUCGGGUUGUAAACCGCUUUCGCCUGUGACGAAGCGUGAGUGACGGUAAUGGGUAAAGAAGCACCGGCUAACUACGUG